AUGUUAAACAAAAUUAAUUAUCCCCUUGUACAAUUCCAUUGUAUUAUAAAAAUAAUGUGCCAAGGUUUGCCUUUAGGAUGUUUAAAUUGCUUGUUGGUUUGUGCGGUGCAAAACAGAAAUUUUGGCUGUAGUGCUCGAUUUUAUAUUUUUUUACUGGAACGUCAAAUGGUUCUGAAACUUCUUGCACUGUCUUUCUAUACAAAAGUUUUAUUUUUCCUAAUUUUUUUAGAAUUUUUUGAGUUACAGAAGUAUGGUGGAUGUUCAAAUCUUUACAGACUGUCCUAUUUUCACAGAUUACUGUUAUAG
rnacentral:rRNA from 1 species